rnacentral:lncRNA from 12 species
CAGAGGAGCAACAACUAAUCAUUAUGGAACAAGGAGAGGUCACAGAAGACUGCCAAGUAUUUUCAGCUGCUUUAAUUCCCUCCAUUAUGAUAAUACUCUGGAGAACCUCCCUCUUCAUCCCUAUCCAAGCUGUAGAGUAAGGACUGGACUCACCUCCAGCUCCAGGGAGAGUUUGCACAACUAGCAAACUCCAAACCCAGGCUGCCAGCCUCAGCGUUAGAGCAGAUGACAUGGAAGAUACAGACCAGAUGGGCUCUGGAUGGGUAGCCCUUCAACGAAGAUGGCUAAUCAAGUCAGGCUUAUGGUGUGCCCAGAAAUGGCAAGGAUUUCCAAGGGUGAGCACUGACAGCACUGCCUGGUUCAUUCCGCCUAUCUUUCUACCAUGACCUACAAGCCGGCGUCUUACCAAGGGUUCCAGACCAUUCCAGGUUCACAGUGACAGAACCCUGUAUUCUGUUCUGCAGUCUUUUGAGGAACACCGACUGCCUAGUAUCCAUGGCGCCUACCAUGUUUUUCUAUCACAAUACGACUUCUCCAUUGUGUAGAAAGAGGAAUUUCUGUCUCUGUCUCUUGGUGUUCUGAAAUGUCCAUCUCUGUGUGAUCAAAAGGUAUCCAAGAAAAUCUGCAUGCAAAGAGAAGCAUUCCUAAUUUCAGAAGCUCCUACAAGAUUGGGCCAGUUUUCUGGCAGAACAUGGAUGUGAACUCAAUGUCCUCUGGAAAACCAGCUUCACUUCUGUACCAAGAGCCUGUAAUUAUAGCAACCAGGCGGGGAAGAACCAGUUGAAGUGAUGAUUAAGACAUGAAAAAAAAUUAAAGACCCUUUGUUUUUCUGCUCAUUAUGCCUUUUUAUGAUGACUAUACAAAAAAGUGCUGUUCAGACAAUUAGCUUAAUUAACAGAUUAUAUAAAUUAAUGGUUUUCUAGUUUCCUUCCAGGCCCCAA